rnacentral:lncRNA from 10 species
GCAUCAUCUUAUAAUGAAGAAUUAUUUGCAUUUGAAAACUGAACUUUACCUUCUAAUUCACAUGAAGACAAAACACCUUAUAUGACUACUUGGCUCAUACUCCAGAUAUGCUUUAACCUAUGAUUAUUUGUAGAAUGAUUGAAAAAUCUGAGUAAAUGCUAAUUCUAUAAAUUACAGUGAAACAUUAUGCAGAUUUUAAUCUAUCACUUCCAAAAGUGGUGUAAGCCUCUUUUAAAAUUAAAUAAAACCCUACUAAAAUAGAAUUACAUUUAUGUAAAUUAUGUAUGCAAAAUAUUUUCUUUUCAUAAUAACAUGUUAAAUUAAGUUUAGCCUAAAGUGGCCUCCUUACAUAUUUUAGGUUCUGCCUAAAAGUGUCUCCAUGCAUAGUCGACUGUGACCUGACUGGAUGUGUAAAAAGACUGUAAACUACCCUUGUGUCAAUCACUGAGUUUCAGCCAAUUAAAGGCUGUUCCAAUAUCAUAUUCAAAUAAGGUUCAAAACAUCAAGCUAUAAUGAAGACAGUUGUUUCUGUACCUCAGUUCCAUUUUCUGUACAUCACUUUCCUCUCUCUGUCCACAAACCUUCAACCAUGCACAGAGCCGGAGUCUCUCUCAACCUAUUCUGGCUCAGGGACUUCCCGAUUUGCAAAUUGUUCUUUACACAAUUUAGCUUGUCUAAGGUUUCACUUUUAACACAUGCAUAAUUUAGCAUAAUUAUUACUUAAUUUUUGUGAUGCAGCUUUAAUGCUCUCAAAAAACCUCACUUCCUCAAAACAUAUUUAUUUUUAUAGAACAAUGCAAAUAAGGACAAAAGACAAAACACUUAUAUCCUUAAACCCAAAAUCCCAUAAAAUAUCUCUACUGACCUUUGGUGAGCAGGAUUUAGUAUUAUGACCCAUUCUCCAAAGAAGAAACUAGCCGGGCACGGUGUUGAGCACGGUGGCUCAUGCCUGUAAUCCCAGCACUUUGGGAGGCCAAGGAUUACAGGCGUGAGCCACCGCGCCUGGACUAUUUUCUAAUUUCUAAAAGAUUCUCUGAAAUAUUUAAUCAAUUACAAAGAAAAAGUAAAACUUUCUGGCUUGAUACAAGAGAAUGACACAAUAAUCCCAGGACUUUUUAAUAUUUAAGCAAGUAUCUAUAUGUUUUUUCCCUUUUCAUAAUUUCCUUCCAUUUUUUUCCCUUUUAAAAAGACUCUUUUACAGCAGUUUUAGGUUCACAGCAAAACUGAGCAGGAAGUACAGAGAGUUCCCAUAUACUCCUAAACACAGACAAGCACAGCCUCUCCUACAAUCAAUAUCCCUAACCAAAGGGGUACAUUUCUUACAAUCAGUGAACCUACAUUGACAAGCAUCAUCAACCUAAGUCCACAGUUUAUAUCAGGGUUCCCUCUUGGUGUUCUAUGCCAUGGUUUUGGAAAAAUGUUUAAUCACAUGUAUCCACCAUUACAGAACCAUACAGCAUAAUUUCAGUGUUCAAAAAAAUCCUGCGUGCUCAACUUACUCAUUCUCCCUGCCCCUUAACUUCUGGCAACCACUGAUCUUUUUACUGUCUCAUAGUUUUGCUUUUU